AUACUUACCUGGCAGGGGAGAUACCAUGAUCAUGAAGGUGGUUUUCCCAGAGCAAAGCUUAUCCAUUGCAGUCCGGAUAUGCUGACCCCUGUGAUUUCCCCAAAUGUGGGAAACUGAAAUAUAUAAUUUGCGGUAGUGGGGGACUGCAUUCACGCUUUCCCCUA
ensembl:snRNA U1 U1 spliceosomal RNA